GGGAAGGUGGCUCAGUGGUAGAGUGCUUGCCUUGCAUGCAUGAAGCCCUAGGUUCAAUUCCUCAGCAUCACA
rnacentral:tRNA from 1 species